rnacentral:lncRNA from 1 species
CGGCGCUCGGGGCAUCGCAGCGGCGGUUCCCUGCGCGGUCUCACGGCAGCCCCCGUCCCCUCCCCGGCAAGGGCCCCGGCGGCGGAGGCGCUCACCCCCGGCUCUCCGCCGAGAGCGCGCCCGUCCCAGAGCCGCCGGAGCGGAGGAGAAGUAUCAGAGGUGGAAGGAGCUGGAAGGGACUUCGCUAAGGUCUGAGAAAAGGGCAGCCCAGACUGCUGGAAGGUGUUGCACAGCGCUACCGAAGUUCGUUGUCCCUCCGUCUCCUGGUCAGGUGAGCAAGUAUGCGAAGAGGGGAUUUGGAAGAAGGAAGGAAGGAAAAUGGGCUGCCUUCUUAGAAAGCUCUU